GUUACAGAGCAAAAGCAAAGGGAAAUAGUACCUCCACAUGUCAAAGGAAAAUUUGGUGUCCAAAAGCUCCCAUUCCCGCUAGGAGAACUGACCUUGUGUAUUAGGGUUCUCUAGAGGGACAGAACGAAUAGGAUAGAUGUAUAUACAUACAGGGGAGUUUAUUAAGGAGUAUUAACUCACACAAUCACAGGGUGAGUGCAGGUUUAUUGCAUAGGUAUAUGUGUGCCAUGGUGGUUUGCUGCACCUGUCAACCCGUCAUCUAGGUUUUAAGCCUCACAUGCAUCAGGUAUUUGUCCUGAUGCUCUUCCUCUCCACCUCUCCCAUGACAGGCCCCAGUGUUUGUUGCUCCCCUCCCUGUGUCCAUGUGUUCUCACUGUUCAACUCCCACUUAUGAGUGAGAACACGUGGUGUUUGGGUUUCUGUUCCCGUGUUA
rnacentral:lncRNA from 1 species